UACGUAGGGGGCAAGCGUUAUCCGGAUUCAUUGGGCGUAAAGCGCGCGCAGGCGGGCCGCUAAGCGGGACCUCUAAUCUUGGGGCUCAACCUCAAGCCGGGUCCCGAACUGGCAGCCUCGAGUGCGGUAGGGGUAAGCGGAAUUCCCGGUGUAGCGGUGGAAUGCGCAGAUAUCGGGAAGAACACCGAUGGCGAAGGCAGCUUACUGGGCCGACACUGACGCUGAGGCGCGAAAGCUAGGGGAGCGAACAGG
rnacentral:rRNA from 1 species